GUGUAGAAUAUACGGAAACUCUA
rnacentral:siRNA from 1 species